rnacentral:tRNA from 1 species
GGAGAUUGUAGCUCAGUUGGUUAGAGCGUCGGAUUGUGGUUCCGAAGGUCGGGGGUUCGAGACCCCUCAUUCUCCC